GAGGAAAAUUUGAAAUGGCAAAAAAAAUUUUGCCCAAUGGAAAGUUCAGAAAAAUUUCAGUUUAGAGCCAUCAAAAAGUAAAGCACGUGGUGAUUUAAGGGGGCCAGUUUCACAAAGCUGAAAACAGUUAUGAGCUAAAACAGGUGGGAGGAAGAACUUAAUCAGAAAAAGGUGAAUGACAAUUGGGAAUUGUUCAAGAACACUUUACUAGAUGCCCAAAAAACCACUAUGGAGGAAGAUGGCU